GAGUUUGAUCUUGGCUCAGAACGAACGCUGGCGGCAUGCCUAACACAUGCAAGUCGAACGAACUCUUCGGAGUUAGUGGCGCACGGGUGCGUAACGCGUGGGAAUCUGCCCUUGGGUACGGAAUAACUCAGAGAAAUUUGUGCUAAUACCGUAUAAUGACUUCGGUCCAAAGAUUUAUCGCCCAAGGAUGAGCCCGCGUAAGAUUAGCUAGUUGGUGGGGUAAAGGCCUACCAAGGCUACGAUCUUUAGCUGGUCUGAGAGGAUGAUCAGCCACACUGGGACUGAGACACGGCCCAGACUCCUACGGGAGGCAGCAGUGGGGAAUAUUGGACAAUGGGCGAAAGCCUGAUCCAGCAAUGCCGCGUGAGUGAUGAAGGCCUUAGGGUUGUAAAGCUCUUUACCCGGGAUGAUAAUGACAGUACCGGGAGAAUAAGCUCCGGCUAACUCCGUGCCAGCAGCCGCGGUAAG
rnacentral:rRNA from 1 species